rnacentral:rRNA from 1 species
AACGAACGCUGGCGGCAUGCCUAACACAUGCAAGUCGAACGAGACCUUCGGGUCUAGUGGCGUACGGGUUCGUCACGCGAGGGAACAUGCCCUUAGGUUCGGCAUAACUCCCAGAAAGGGGUGCUAAUACCGGAUAAUGUCUUCGGACCAAAGAUUUAUUGCCUUUGGAUGGGCACGCGUUGGAUUAGCUAGUUGGUAGGCUAAAAGACUACCAAGGCGACGAUUCAUAGCUGGUCUGUGAGAAUGCUCAGCCACACUGGGACUGAGACGCGGCCCAGACUCCUACGGGAGGCAGCAGUGGGUAAUAUUGGACAGUGGGCGAAAGCCUGAUCCAGCAAGGCCGCGUGAGUGAUGAAGGCCUUAGGGUUGUAAAGCUCUUUUACCCGGGAAGAUAAUGACAGUACCGGGAGAAUAAGCUCCGGCUAACUCCGUG